rnacentral:sRNA from 1 species
GCUGGGUGUGGUGGUGCAUGCCUGUAAUCCCAGCUACUCGGGAAGCAGAAGCAGGAGAAUCGCUUGAACCCAGGAGGUGGAGGUUGCAGUGAGCCGAGAUCGCGCCACUGCACUCCAGCCUGGGUGACAGAGUGAGACUCUGUCUCUA